UCAGCUCGUGUCGUGAGAUGUUGGGUUAAGUCCCGCAACGAGCGCAACCCUUGCCCUUAGUUGCCAGCGGGUAAGUGCCGGGCACUCUAAGGGGACGUGCCCCGGAUAACGGGGAGGAAGGCGGGGAUGACGUCAAGUCAGCAUGGCCUUUAUGUCCAGGGCUACACACGUGCUACAAUGGGCGGUACAGAGGGAAGCAAAGCCGCGAGGUGGAGCUAAUCCUUAAAGCCGUCCUCAGUUCGGAUCGCAGGCUGCAACUCGCCUGCGUGAAGUCGGAAUCGCUAGUAAUCGCGGAUCAGCUACGCCGCGGUGAAUACGUUCUCGGGCCUU
rnacentral:rRNA from 1 species